GACAGAGGGUGCAAACGUUGCUCGGAAUCACUGGGCGUAAAGGGCGUGUAGGCGGAAAUGUAAGUCGGGCGUGAAAUCCCUAGGCUCAACCUAGGAACUGCACUCGAAACUGCGUUUCUUGAGUAUCGGAGAGGAAAGCGGAAUACCUGGUGUAGAGGUGAAAUUCGUAGAUAUCAGGUGGAACACCAGUGGCGAAGGCGGCUUUCUGGACGAUAACUGACGCUGAGACGCGAAAGCGUGGGGAGCAAACAGG
rnacentral:rRNA from 1 species